CUACGGGUUGCUGCAGUAGGGAAUCUUCCACAAUGGGCGAAAGCCUGAUGGAGCAACGCCGCGUGAGUGAAGAAGGUUUUCGGAUCGUAAAACUCUGUUGUAAGGGAAGAACAAGUACAGUAGUAACUGGCUGUACCUUGACGGUACCUUAUUAGAAAGCCACGGCUAACUACGUGCCAGCAGCCGCGGUAAUACGUAGGUGGCAAGCGUUGUCCGGAAUUAUUGGGCGUAAAGCGCGCGCAGGCGGUCCUUUAAGUCUGAUGUGAAAGCCCACGGCUCAACCGUGGAGGGUCAUUGGAAACUGGGGGACUUGAGUGCAGAAGAGGAAAGUGGAAUUCCAAGUGUAGCGGUGAAAUGCGUAGAGAUUUGGAGGAACACCAGUGGCGAAGGCGACUUUCUGGUCUGUAACUGACGCUGAGGCGCGAAAGCGUGGGGAGCAAACAGGAUUAGAUACCCGCGUAGUC
rnacentral:rRNA from 1 species